UACGGAGGGGACUAGCGUUGUUCGGAAUUACUGGGCGUAAAGCGCACGUAGGCGGAUUUGUAAGUCAGGGGUGAAAUCCCGGGGCUCAACCUCGGAACUGCCUUUGAUACUGCAAAUCUCGAGUCCGGAAGAGGUGAGUGGAAUUCCUAGUGUAGAAGGUGAAAUUCGUAGAUAUUAGGAAAGAACACCAGUGGCGAAGGCGGCUCACUGGUCCGGUACUGACGCUGAGGUGCGAAAGCGUGGGGAGCAAACAGG
rnacentral:rRNA from 1 species